rnacentral:rRNA from 1 species
GAACCCUCCGCCGGAGCACCCCCGCCUCUAGGCGCUGUGCCGGUCACUCCGGCUCAUCACAGCCGCGCCCAAGGUCGCCCCGCCUGUCGGUACCGACUACGCUUCGCCGUCUCCUCGUGUGCCCGAAGACCGCUCCCGCAACCCUCGCAUCUGUCGCCGCGACGAAGGACCACGAGGAGGAGGAGGUGAAGGUCGCGGUCCUCCAACUCCAGCGCCGCACGACCCUCUCGCACGCAGCCGCGUAGCCGGAGCUAGAGGAGGCAGAAGUGGAAGCCGUCCUCCAACUACUGCUCAGCCCCGAACCCGCGCAGGUCUCUCUGACGUCGGCUGCCGCUCCUCUUGAGGCCGUCGCCUAGCAUCGGGCCACCCAACUUCACGAAGCCCAGGAGCAGUCUACCGCAGCCCCUGCCCUCCGGGCUGGGCAUGGGCAUCGGACCCGUUCUCAUGUAGUUGCCUCCACCGCGGCGCUCAAGGAGCAGUCUCUUCAUCGCCAGACCCAGUAGCUGCUCGGUAGGCUGCGAACCAGCCCGUUCGUAGGUGAGGUACCCGCGCAUGUGGCCGCCGUCAAGGCGCCGCAGGCACCACUACAACCUCCGUCUCCGGAGUUAGAGCACGAGCUAGGACCGGGGACGUUGUUGGACAAGCAGCUAUCGCAAACCACGCCGUCGUCGGAGAACCCCGUAUUGGUCCUGCAGAAGUGACCCGCGUAGGUGGGACCAUGAGCCAGGACCGCGAGGUCCCCUCAGCGACGCUACGUGGGCUGUCACUGGUGUCACUUCCGCGACUGCUACCCGCAACGCCGCUUCCUCCGGUGGUGGUCCUAGCAUCGCUGCUUCUCCUCGUGCCAUACCACGUAACGCCGCCACCUCCGGCGGUAAGGACAAGUCCGCUGCGACUGCCGCCACCGGCUUCAAGGCCGCUGCUCGUCGUCGGCCUGGUUUUUAGGUCGCUCCUUUUGCCUUCGGGGCUGCAAGGGACCGGUAUUUAGCCCGCUUUCGCUUUCGUUCCGGGAAGUCUCUUAGGUAGAGAAGAGUGGAGAGAAAGAGAGGACAUCGGAUAAGAGACCAAGCUCGUCACGACUACUGCACUUCUCUUUGUCUUUCUAACUUCACUUGUCUAACUAAAGUAACUAUCAAUGACGUCCAUGAAUAUACAGGACUCGUCAGCACUAAUGUACGGGCAAUGUUUCAAGCGCAGCAAAGCCUUUCUGCGCCACUGGACAAGCGAUCCUUGUCGCAGACCGGUUGCGUCAUAGAAUUGACGGUAUGCCUUAUAAAAUUCCUUAUUAACCGACGGAUUAAUCGGAUUCGAUUAUGAUUAAAUAGGAUUGUAAGAACUCAUAUAGCCUAUACAUUUAGAUAAAUACCGGGGUAUGUGUAAAAGGACAUGAACCCUGACCAUAGACUUCACAAUCCGGGGGACGGGGGUAAGUAUAAGUUUUGUAGAUUCUUUAAUUAAUCAAGUAAACAUUAAUCGAAAUCAAAAUGAUAAAAGGUUUAUAUCUUAAUUAAAAUUUUUCACUUAUACUUUUACCCGCGAUAAUGUAAAAUCUAUACUGGAUAUUGUUAGGUACCUACAACAGUCAACAGUGAUAACAGUAUGAUGGAGGUAAAGUUAUAUAUUUUGUAAAACCAUCCGGUAAAAUAGGAUGGUUUUGUAGAAUAUAAAACCUUACCUCCAUCAUGUUACCUUAAACGAAGUUUACAAUCUAUUAUAUAUCACAGCUGAAUAACCAUAAUGACUCGAUGAAGGUAGCUUACAACUACGUACAAUGGUCAUGAAGACGCUCAUCAUCUAGUAUAGGUAAGACGGUAUAGUACAAACGUAUCUUUUAAGUUAAAAUAAAACUCUUAUCAAACGUCACAUGUUUAAAAGGUAGAUGAAUACCAAUAGAUUUUGCCGAUCAUCGUAUACAUGCGCACAAAAAUCAAGGAUGGAAAACUUAUAAAAACACAACUGAUACAAGAACUGGUAUACAGGAGCAACAAUCAAGUAAACGAUAUCUUUUUUUUAUUGGCCACACUAGUUCAGUCGUACCAUAAUGAACGUUCACAAAACUCAUUGGGAAGGAGAACACAGAGUACUUGAGGAACUCGAAAUACACCUUGUGAGUCAGUUGUUAUAAUCCAGAAAGACUACGUCGAACCGGAUGAAGGACAUCGUAUAUCUGACAUAGAGGCCGGUUCGACGCAACUUGUACUUACAGUAUUUAACCAGACGUAUAGGUCGAGUGACUGUAUAACGGUAUCGUAGAACCAUCAAAACGCGAAACAUAGAACCCGAUAGAUACUUCGACCUACCGUGUACCGUCGUACCAAAUAUUCCACCAUUUCGUUGGAUUUCACUCGUGGUAGAUGAGACUACGAAUUCGCUACAUACCAGUGACAGCCGGAUUCGCGGAUUUCAUCCAUAUAAAGAUUCCGCAACGGUCCCGCGGAAUGGUGAAUUCGCUACGACUUCGCAGACUUCGUCCCGUGAAAUAUUUGUCUCGUACCUUCAUCAUAAGAGAAAGCAUGGACAAGUAGGGAACACAGAGGAGAAAGAUAACGGAGAACGUUCGGUUGUAUAUUAAGGCAAGAAUCCACAGGAACCACAGAAAACUAGGUCAGGUCAAACAUGACAUUUUAUGUACGUUCCCGUAGGGGUAAAUUGACGUCAAAUUCGAAAAGUGUUUGGUCCUUCAUAAAGCUAACCAAUCAUACCACAACAUAUACUGAGUAUCAUAAGGUUGUGACAAUGUACGAAAGAGAACGUAAAACGUGGAAGAAAAUUAUAUAGAACAUAUAAAGGAGAUAUGGGUAGAAAAGACAUCCCCUUAUUAUUACCUAUGACGUAUCGGUACUUAAUACUUACCAAGAAACUAUAAGAAGAGCCGGAUUACCGGAAAAUGACUUGUUACUAUAGGUAGGAAAAGAUAAGGGAUAACAUAGUAAGUGUUAGUUCGGAUAUUGAAGCCAACGGUAAGACUCACAAAAACGAUCAGAUAAUAGAGAUAGGUUGUAUAAAAAUUCCGGGAGCUGUUACACUACUAGACAACUCAGGGAACAUAGAAGACUACGACUGCGCAAUUAGGACAAAAAUGGAGUUAACAUCCCAGUAUCCACGUAUUGACGUAACACGCACCGAGUAGAAAUGGAAGUCUACCAUGAAUGACCUCCGAGCGAGCUACCUGGCUACCGUGUUAACUCCUAUAAGCACGUGAAAGAACACUCUCAAGAAAAAGAAGAAACUCCCUUUCGGUAGUACCAGCACAUAUAAAUAAACCACAUUAUCGAUGUAGUAGACGUUUUUUCUGUUCAUUUUUCGACCUCCCAACGGACGCUACCCAUGUUUAGAUUAGAUAGUACCCAAAACAAAUACCCCGGUACUCUAACUAACACUCAACCACAUUUGUUAUACACUACCUGGCAUUCUAACUAGGACUCUAAUGACAUAUACCAUAAUCCUUGUUUUAGUUGUCUCUUAUGUACGUUUACUAGUUACGUCCCAACCUAACAAACCCUCUUCGGCAUUCUAACUAG